GACGAACGCUGGCGGCGCGCCUAACACAUGCAAGUCGAACGGAGAUCACUUAGUAGAAGUUUUCGGAUGGACACCGAGUGAUCUUAGUGGCGAACGGGUGAGUAACGCGUGAGCAAUCUGCCUCAGAGUGGGGGACAACAGUUGGAAACGACUGCUAAUACCGCAUAAGCCCACAGCACCGCAUGGUGCAGGGGGGAAAAGAUUUAUUGCUUUGAGAUGAGCUCGCGUCCAAUUAGCUGGUUGGUGAGGUAACGGCCCACCAAGGCGACGAUUGGUAGCCGGACUGAGAGGUUGAACGGCCACAUUGGGACUGAGACACGGCCCAGACUCCUACGGGAGGCAGCAGUGGGGAAUAUUGCACAAUGGGGGAAACCCUGAUGCAGCGACGCCGCGUGGAGGAAGAAGGUCUUCGGAUUGUAAACUCCUGUUGUUGGGGAAGAUAAUGACGGUACCCAACAAGGAAGUGACGGCUAACUACGUGCCAGCAGCCGCGGU
rnacentral:rRNA from 1 species